GAUGAACGCUGGCGGCGUGCCUAAUACAUGCAAGUCGAGCGAACGGACGAGAAGCUUGCUGCUCUGAUGUUAGCGGCGGACGGGUGAGUAACACGUGGGUAACCUACCUAUAAGACUGGGAUAACUUCGGGAAACCGGCGCUAAUACCGGAUAAUAUUUUGAACCACAUGGUUCAGAAGUAAAAUACGGUCUUGCUGUCACUUAUCGAUGUAUCCGCGCUGCAUUAGCUAGUUGGUAAGGUAAUGGCUUACCAAGGAAACGAUGGGUAGCCGACCGGAGAGGGGGAUAGGCCACCUUGGAGGGGAGACACGGACCAUACGCCUAAGGGAGGCCGCAGUAGGGAACCUGAGGCAACGGGCGAAAGCCUGACGGAGCAACGGCGCGUGAGUGAUGAAGGCCUUCGGAUCGUAAAACUCUGUUAUUAGGGAAGAACAUAUGUGUAAGUAACUGUGCACAUCUUGACGGUACCUAAUCAGAAAGCAACGGCUAACUACGUG
rnacentral:rRNA from 1 species